GAAGAAUUUAGAUCUAUUGAGUUUAUGCUAUUCAUGACCACAGCUUAAUAUAAUUUGUUUGUUAGUUUCAAACCUCUGACGCAGUUUGUGAACUUGUAAUGUAUGUAUUCAUCCCAGAAGACUUUUCUCUACUUCACUGAGAGUCUAGAAAAUCCCUUUGUUUCAAACGCAAAACUACUAAAUUUGUGCAAAUCUCAUGGGGGAAAAAGUCUAAGUGUAAUUCAAUUUUAUCUAUCUGGUUUGAAUAAUUUAUUCAGCUAAAGGCAACCAAUUCCUUUUCUAGGCAAUCAUCUGUGUUAGUAGAUGUACAGAUGUAGGUAACAGAAAGGUUGGUCCACUCUUUCCAAAGGUGUUCAAUGUCAGUCCCCCUCCUGUUUGUACAGCUGAUUUACAAAGUGGCUGCCUGCAGUAGCAAGGAUGUGGAUGGUGAGCACAGAUGUAGCUUAUAACCUAUGCAUCACUGUUGAGAAGUGUUCCUUGUUGUGAUCUCAGAGCUCCUGUAUUACACUGAAGUCCCAACUACUAGUAAAUAUAUACCUAAGAGAAACUUCCUUCUCAUAUCUGUUGGUUUGAGUUAUUAUGCCUACAAAUCUUAAGAUAUGUAUAUACUUACUCUUGCCAUUUUAAGGUUAUGUUUAAAAUAAAACAUGUGGGAUGUAGAAUAGCAACUUUCAAGUUGUUAUCAUUUGACAAGCAUUAGAAUGGAUAUUAAAUCUUAGAGACUUGGACAUGCUCAGUAGAUAUGCAUGGGCUGACUCUGAUAAGCAGACAGUGACUAAUCCAGGAUUUCUUUGUGACUUAACAACAUCAUCACUGUUGAGGGUGGAAGGAACUUACCUGCCCUGUGCUGCCCAACCUGCUAUAUGGAAAAUGAAUCUCUUGAUUCAGCUCUGAAAAUACUGUCCUCCCACUUACCUCUCUCACCGGUGGAAACCACAAAUGUCUAAUGGUGUCAAUGCAAAAGAACAUCAAAAUAAAGAGAUCAUCUGGCCAGUUUCCA
rnacentral:lncRNA from 1 species